UGUGCCUCCUCUCUUUUCACACAUGCUCACCCCCCCCGUUCACUCACACCUCACACUGAGCAGCUUGAGGAGUGGAAGGCAGCGCUGAGAACAUGCAACAGAAAACAUGGGGGGGACCAGCAGGGACUGCUGAGGGACUGAAGACACUGAGGGCCUCUUCUCCUCUGUCUCAUUAACCACAGCUUUUGUUUACUCACAGGAGAGGAGGAGUUAGCGGGAUGACAAAAGGCUGCAGCUGCCUUUUCUUCUCCAGAAACAGGGUGAAAAAUGACAUAAUGGCAGCUGAGCUCAGGAUGUCGUUGAAACAAGAACUUUUCACCGUGGGCCACCUCGUUAAAAAACUUGCACACAUGGACAAAAAUGUUGCUCGAAAAAUUAACUGGUGUCAAUUUUCAUGUUGAUUUUUAAUUUAAUUGAUUUCACUAAGUAAAACUCGACAGACUAUAAACACUAGAUUUUUAUUUAAUCGCCAUGCAUGUUGAUUUUUACUGUUUGAAACCCAUAACUGUGCAGUUCACGUUAUUAUCUUUUUACAACUGAAGGAGGAACAAGUCAAGACACUUUUCUUUCUGUUCUUGCUGAGGAUUAAAAUGUUUCCAAAAAUCUGUUCUCUGACAUCAUUUGUUGGAUUGAGAUACAUUUAGGGCUGGGGUUAAUUUUAGUUAUAAAAACACCAAGUGUUUGAUAUUUGUCUGUUCAUAGUCAUUUUCACCUUACUGUAGUCAUUUUUGUUUUGUUUUGUUGUAUGUAUAACUUUUAAAUGAAAGUAUAGUUCUUCUUUG